AUUUGGAGUCACAUGUGUGA
rnacentral:piRNA from 1 species